CAUGUUCUUCGGCUCGCUUGCAUUCUUCAGUGAUUAGAGAGAGAGAGAGAGAAUGUGAACAGGUGUGGAAGCAAGGAGUGUUGGUAAUUCCUUGGUGGAAGUGAGCUGUGAGUGGGAGUGGCUGAAGUGACAAGAGUCGCAAAAGAGGAUUAAUUCACCGAGAGAGCAGUUGGGGAGUGGUCAAGAGAGUUACGUAAGUUGGAAGAAUAAUGGAAAGCCGAAGAACUUGAAUUUGGAAUCGGAGUACACAAUAAUUAAGUUCCGUUUUAUACACUUACAUCAUAGGCGGAUUAAUUUCGCGCAUUACACAAAGUGAGAGGAUCGACUUGGGGAAAGCCUUUUUUCGCCACGCGGUGUUUGACCAAAAAGGGGAUAAAAAGGGAGUGUUUAGUUGACAAGGGGCAGUUUUUCGUUCCCGAUUUGUUUUGCCGCCGUAGGCCAUGUCGGUUUAAUUUUUGUCUGUCGUCGGUCGUCCAGCCCAGAGAUGCGACAUAUAUUAUUAUCCAGCAUGUAAUUUGACUUUGAUUUAGAAUAAAACCUGAUACACAACUUAACUUCAUCGAACUUGUCAUUCUUUGACUCCCGUCUUUUUUUGUACGUGGGCAGCGCAAGACGGUGGGCGGCCACCGGCCGUCUUGCAAAGCUGUGCCGCUACAAAAUUGGUAGUACGGAUGGGGUCGGUCGACCGUCAUCUUCAGCAUGUUCGGGGAACGUUUUAGUCCUUCAGUCUGGUUUUACGCAUAAACACAAUGUUUAUCGGACAUUGAUAUAAAUUCAACAAGGAGAGCUUCACUUCAUGUCACCGGUUCCGGCUUAUUUUUUGUUCGAGGAUGUGAAUUGAUAUUAUUUUAACUUUAACGUUGGAGAGAGAAAUUCAGCUGCAGGGGUUGGAUUGAGCCCCCACAUCGCCCGGGUUUUCGACGUUGGGACCUUACAUGUGCCGUUGAGCUCAGGAGAAAGAACCCUUCGUCCUGGGACUCACGCCUGGCUGCAUUGUAGCGAGGAGUCGAGGGACCUGUGAAAACCACUGCAAAUAGACCUGACGGGGUAGCAUAGCUGGUUUCCACUAAAACCCUCCGGAUUAGUUGGUACCGACGAAGUCUGGUGAUUUCACAUUACACUGCGGUGAGAGGAGUCGUUUAACUGCGCGAGAAUCGUCUUGGAAGGGGCUGUAAAGGAACUCAGCAGGGCGAUUGCUUUUCCUUUGGUCGUCUCAUGAGGAUGGAUUGAGGUUAGGUACUGAAGGCCGCAGGCGCUAGUCCGGCUCGGGGAGUUGGACGCUAUCGAGGAGCUCCGAGACAUCGUUCUUCCAACCAACGCUUCGACACGGCCCUUCAUCUUCGUCAUCGACGUGGUGUGGUAGACCCUGUCUUCGAUAUCUUCGACGGUGGAAGCUGGCACUGUCGUUUGGAAGCCGAUAGCCUUGGCGAGUGAAGCAGCAGGAGUCGCUGAAAAUGGACCCAGAACUGAGAUUUGUGUGGGAACGGUGGAGCGCGGGUGCGCAAACUGGAAACCGGUAGAUGAAACCGGGGGUUGAAUUUCCCGCACGUUUUUCAGAACCAGAUAAGUUUGAAACAAUGGUUAUAUCAAUGGUCUAAUUUUACUGUUAAAGAUGGAAUAUUAGGAAGGAAGGUUCUUGAUCCUUUAUUUGGUAAUAUAUUUCAAAUUUUACUCCCACAGUGUUUGCGUAAGAGUAUUUUAGUUGGAUGUCAUGAUGAAUGGGGACAUCGAGGUAGAAAUAAAACUGAACAAUUGGCUAUAGGUCAAGAGUUUAUUGGCCUGGCAUGGCUCGUGAUAUAGAAUUUUAUGUUAAAAGAUGUAUUAAAUGUGCUAAGGCAAAGGAGAUGCAGCCUCGGGUAAGAACCCCAAUGAGACAUCUAAUGGCAUUUAGUCCAUU
rnacentral:misc_RNA from 1 species